CGGACGGGUGAGUAACGCGUGGAUAACCUGCCCCAUACCGGGGGAUAACAGCCGGAAACGGCUGCUAAUACCGCAUAAGCGCACGAGGCUGCAUGGCCUUGUGUGAAAAACUCCGGUGGUAUGGGAUGGAUCCGCGUCUGAUUAGCUAGUUGGUGAGAUAAAAGCCCACCAAGGCGACGAUCAGUAGCCGACCUGAGAGGGUGGCCGGCCACAUUGGGACUGAGACACGGCCCAGACUCCUACGGAAGGCAGCAG
rnacentral:rRNA from 1 species